rnacentral:rRNA from 1 species
GCGUUAUUCGGAAUUAUUGGGCGUAAAGGGCGCGUAGGCGGCUUGAUAAGUCAAAGGUGAAAUCCCUCGGCUCAACUGAGGAACUGCCUUUGAAACUGUCAGACUUGAGGCCGGGAGGGGGUAGCGGAAUUCCCAGUGUAGCGGUGAAAUGCGUAGAUACUGGGAGGAACACCGGUGGCGAAGGCGGCUACCUGGACCGGUUCUGACGCUGAUGCGCGAAAGCGUGGGUAGCAAACAGG